rnacentral:rRNA from 1 species
UACAACAGAAUUUCGCACACACAAACUCUAGUGUGACCGCAGCUUUACUCACUGAAGCUAUGCAAGGCUGAGUUUGUUCAGUACCUGAAUGGAAGACCGCAUGGGAAAACUAGGCUGCUGUUGGAA